AGAUGAGUUCUCCCUGAGACUUUGGGUCUCCUGAAGGAACGUUGAAGACGACGACGUUGAUAGGCCGGGUGUGUAAGCGCAGCGAUGCGUUGAGCUAACCGGUACUAAUGAACCGUGAGGCUUAACCUU
rnacentral:rRNA from 1 species